AAGAUGUAUAAAUAGGUCCCUUACUAAUCCUAGUUUAAUCCUUAAAGUAAACCUUCAAUCCAAAUUCAACAAAAAGUAAGACAAACAAUCCCAACCAUACAAAAAAAUUCAGAUUAUUUAAUAUGAGAUUAUAUAGGUGUAGGAGUGAUUGACACAAAGUUUAAAAUAACUAAAGCCUAAAUGGGUGUCGAAACAUGGAAUUAGGAAAUGGUACAAAAGAUUGUAUAGCAAAAACAAGUAAUGUCAGCACAAACCUAAAGCAAAAUCACCAGCCUAAAUACUUUACCCCAGGCCUGCUAACCAAUCCCCCUAAUGCAAACUUUGACUUUUUGCAAGUUGAAAAUAAUAUCAUUAAUUGAAAAAUCCAAGGAGGGGCAAGAUACUUUGAUCCACAUUGCAAUCCUUAAUUUAAUAGUCUCACACAGCUCCCCAAUUUACCAACAAUUCCAUUUUAAAUUAAUGAGCUCGUCAAAACAACUCAAGAGGAGCACAAGGACAUUGCAGAAACAGAGUGCAACCAGUGUAAUUUUUCAAAACAAAGUUGUGAUUGACUUUUGGCAAAGGAUUGAAUUUGAAUUGGUAUUUAUCUUUCUUGUGAAGAACUGGAUUAAAAGAUUAUAACAUGGUUCAAUAAUUCAAAGUCCUGUAAUCACAUUAUUCUUUAGCAAAGCAGAAUAACCUUGGUACAGCAGCAAGUAAUAUUAAAAAAUGAAAACCAGGUUAACUGAAUAUUUCUGUUUGCACUAAAUUCUCUGAAUUCAAGACAACAUAGUUUUCUUCUGUUAAUAGUAGACAACCAACAACACUUGAUACAUUAUAUUGAUCUCAACUCUUAAAGGCCUCAAAACCAUAGACUUACUGCGUAACUUUUUUCAUCACUAUAGUGGGAGUUGUAGAUAAAUAAAAAUCACCAAAACAAACCGAUGCAAACUUAGCAAAGACCAUAAUAUCAUUAUCAGAUAUGUAAUUCAUAUGUGAUUUAAUGGAGCAUGUCUAAUCAUGAUAUUAUCAAA